CCUCAGUUUUUCUCUCUUCUUCUUUUUUCUCUGUGUUCGUGGUAGUACUUGUGAAGUACGUUGAAGCCAGGCUCGGUGAGCUGGGCCAUUGUAGCAUCAUUAGUAGAAGCUGAGACUUUUCCUUCCGCCUGUGUCACGCUUAACGCACUGUAGAAAGUGCGACAGUUUUGUUUUUUUUCCAGUUAGGCUCUUGUCUGUGUUCUGUUGGCGACUCGGCAUGCCAAGCGGGGCAGCUGGAGGCGUUCUGUGCUUCCGUUACAACGGUGCGGCGAUAGAAGCGGAUGUAGUGGAUUGCGAUAUUACAAGGAGUGCAGGAGUUCUGGUCGAUAGGCGGCAAUGCAGCUAAAUUUGAAACCAAGGAUCACUGCGUGGAAGUCGCAGGGCUCUCUACUACAAGCCGUCUUCGCGUUUUUCUAGUCGAUUUACUGCACCCUAAUUGGAAGGGCCGACAAUCUGAUCAUAAUCGUUGUGAACGAGUUUUGAUCUCCUUCUUCCUAUUGGCAGUGCUAUUGCAGAGGAAUAAGCUGUCAGAAGUUGACAUUGUGUAGUAUUGGGAGCCGCUAAUGUGGCUUUUCAUUUGGGUGUCUAGGUUGCUGAUCUCGGUUGGAAACUAGAGCGGUGCGGUAACGUUGUCUUGCAAACAAGGCAUCGUUCUUUCUUCUUGUUGGACUGGUGCAGUCAGCGGCAGUGGCAUUGAAGAUUCUGUUUUCUUGUUCGUUGAGGUACUACGGUGUAGCCCUGUUUUUCUCAGUGUUGUGGCCAUGCGGUUGGAGCAAUUUUGGAGCGAUUUAUUGCAGUGGGCUGCUGUGCGUCGGACCACAGCGGAGACUCAACUACGGCGGCUGGAGCUCGUGUCGUUGACAAUGUAGUGUGUAUUUGAAAGAGCUCCGCACUCGCUAUUUGUGUAUACAUUCCUAGCAUGAAUUGUAUGUGUGGCGGUGUGGGUUGAUACUGCAUCCAGCCGUGUUGUUCUUUUCCUUCAAUUGGAACGGGCAUGAAACUAAGCGAAAGAUUGUGAAUUUGGCAUCAACGGAGUGAUGCUGCGGCGGUCAAGUACUCCCUUGUGUUAAUUUUUUUUCUUCCAAAGUUGUAGGCGGCAUUUUCUCGAU